GCCCUGGAGUCGCUAAUCGCUAAUCUGAAAGCACGAAACGCAGAAUAGUUAGAUAGUUUGCACCUAACCAAAGAUGCAAAUUGUCUCUCGAUUUCAAUAUUCAUGAAAUGCGCGCUUAGUUCGAACGAGAUCUCCAGGCAAAGAAAGGACAAGCUGUAGAGAACCAUCGCGGCUUGGUGAGCCAAUUGAGAAACUUGGAUGCCGAGUUGAAUAAGAACCGAAAACAUCGUACUGCUGCUGUGGAAGCCAAAAAGAAAUUGAAAGUAGAUUGCAAGGAAUUGAAAGCCACCAUUUCCAUGGUGAAGAAGGAUGCCCUUAAACACGCCAAGAGAUUUCAAGUUCAAGUUAACGAUACAUUGAGUAACUUCACUUGAAGGUCCCAUCCUGGUCUAAUGAUUUGUGCUAGUAUUCUCGUUGACCGCUUGUCGCUCGCUUGCACGAUGGUGUAUGCGCGGCUAGUGCUCGUCGGAUGGGGUUCUUUGCGAAAUCGUAUCACCUAAGCAGGAACAACAAAUUUUACAUGCAAAGCUUACUAUAUGUAAAAGAAAAGAUAUGUUUAUGACAAAUUCCAAAAUAGCCAAGAUAUUACUCAACAAUUAAUUGAAAAUAAAAAAAGCCUCAUGAGGAUCUAAUGGCAUCUUCCGUCUUCUUCUUCCAGGCAGCUUAGUCUGUCUGUCCGUCUAUGUCCGACCGAAUGUUGUAAUGGUAAGGUCGUUCAAUACGCCUAAAGUACGGCACUUUCUAUGGCAAAGACCAAAAAAUUUCUGGAAAGGUCCGAUAAAAAAUGAGUAAUCGUUUUUAGUUCAUAUAUAAGUCUGUUCGCCUAACGUUCGUGAGCUGUUUGGUGUGUUAAUGUCGAGGGCAUGAAGCGCUAUCACCUGAAAACUGGAGGCAGGACACUAAAUACAGUCUGGAGCCCAUAAAUGGACUUCGUUCAAAAAGUGUGCUUCUAUAGAAGAUCAGUACCUUUAAUUUGGUGCACCACACAUAUCCCAGAACUGUUUGUCGUAGAACAAUCCUUUAAGAUUUGCAGCCGCCAUAUAUCCACACACGAUGACAUGAAAUCAUUUUGAAAUACAUAAAAUAUUUUUUUCUAAAAUUAUUUAAUAAUGGUUACUAUUAA
rnacentral:sRNA from 1 species